UACAGAGGCCUCGAGCGUUAGGCGGAAUCACUGGGCUUAAAGUGUGUGUAGGCGGACUUCUAAGUACCUUGUGAAAUCCCACGGCUCACCCGUGGAACUGCUCGGUAUACUGGUUGUCUUGAGCCUUCUAGGGGCGAGUGGGACAAAUGGUGGAGCGGUGAAAUGCGUAGAUAUCAUUUGGAACGCCAAUGGUGAAAACAACUCGCUGGGGAAGUGCUGACGCUGAGACACGAAAGCCAGGGGAGCGAACGGG
rnacentral:rRNA from 1 species